AGAGGCCCAGCCUCCCAGGGAAGGUAAACCAUGGGAGGAGCCCCUCAGCACAGCUUGUCUGGGUCACAGGGUGUCUCUGUGUUCCAGGGAAAGGCACAUGUCCUGCUCUUGGGAGCACUUGUGAGAUUUCUAAAUUAAUCAGUGGAAGUGGCUCAAGAGAAGUCCAACCCAGAAUACACAAUCAAGGUGUUCUUUGCCAGUAACACAGAGGGGAAGAGGCUUAAUAAUAAUGUUCUUGCAUCUGUAUCAUCUCUGACCUUCUUACUUCUCAUCUAAUCCAUUUUUGUGAGUGUUUUGUCUGGUCUAGAUAAUUCCUGCUUUGUGCAGCAUCUGAGAAGCUGCUGGUCUUUCAUAUCCUACUGCUUAGUGCUCUUCCACAGGAAAUUUCUCUUGGGAUUUAUUGUAGUGCUACUCCUUUCACAUGCCUUUGUAGUCUGCUGUCUCUGAAGACUGUUAUUCUUCUGAAAUAAAUCCAAAGAAAUUCAAGAAGUCCAGGUAAGCGUAAGAAAAGUUUAAUGGAUAUAGUGGGCAGUCUUUCAAAAUGCAGUUUCCAGUCAGUCAGUGUGCUGGGAGUUUGUGAUGCCUCCUUUUGUGCUCCACUGAUUCUUCUGAGCAAACUUGAUAGAGAGAAAGUGGCCUGUGUCAAAACACAGUUGGUUACCAUUUAUUUUUCCUUUUGUGCAAGUUUUACUUAAAAACUACCUUGAGUCUUUCACACAGCUGUGUUCUGGAGACCAGAUUCAAGACAGAGCACUUCUGUGAUUUACAAGUUAAUUUAAAGGACAUACAGGCUGUGGCAACAUGCAGGAGCAAAGCUUGUUUUUGAUUCAUAGAAGUCCUAGUUCCUGGAUUGAUUGGUUUAAUAACCUUUGUUAAAAAAGGUUAUUAAACCAAUCAAUCUGAUUUCUGAGAGCAUCUUAUUCCUCUGGGCUCAAGGGGUAGAGAGUAGGAAGUUUCAGUCUCUCAAUAACUUGUUAGCUUUGACUUCACAGAGCAUGUUAGAGUGCUGUGCUGUGCAAAUUCUGCUUUAUGCACACACCUCUUGUUUGAAAAGACACCUCUGUUAUAUCUGAAAAGCGAUACAUUUACAGGAUAGAAGAGAGCUUUCGAAUUUAGCUCUCAAGAUGGAUAUUUAUUUGAAUGAUCCAUUUGGAGCAGUUCUUUUGCACUGCCAGUGUUUUCUCUAAGGGAUUUGUGGUCCUGAGGCAAUACUUCAGGAAAGCAGUCUCCCCAGGAGAAGAUGAAUAAUAGCAGACUUCAGCAAGGUCCUCAGUUAUGAGUCAAGUUAAAUGUUUGUUUCUUAGUAAAAUCUCACCCCCCCCCAAAAAAAAAAUAAUAUACUUAGAUUCUUCAUCCUAUUCCAUUUUACUGUUUUCCCUUCUGAGGGCAAAGAGAGGCUUGCUGCAAUGAUGUAAAUAUUGUGAUAAGCCAUCUGGGAGGCUGCUGACUUGUACCAAGUUUUAAUUCGUUCUGUUCUUCUCAGAAAACAUCUAGAAAAGCUUUUCUUUUAUGCAUUCUGGGAAGGCCUUUAAGAGGUGAUGAAUGUGGGCAGUGACUUUCAAACUAGAACUGGCUUGAGAUCUUAACCCUCAUUCAUUUUCAGCAGAGCAUAUGCCUCCAAAUGUGAUGAGAAAAAUCCAAAUGAGAAAAUCCCGUCUGCCUGAAGUCUGGACAUGACAGAGGGGAGUAUUUCAUCUUUCUGAGAAACUGCAAAGCAAGUUUCUCAUUUAGGAGCCUAAAAAGCAUUAGGUAGCAUUUGUUAAGUGUAAAGGGAUGGCUGUUCCUCAAUUUCUGGAGUUCAUCCUUGUACAUAGUUGUAUGUAGUGUUCAUACAUGAUGUAAUACAUAUUUGUAUCAUGCAGUGUUCAUAAUUCCUGUGUGCCACAGGAUCCAGGGAGGCAGAAGACAAGCCUGUGAAACUCCCAGGCACAGCACCAGGAUCAUUGAGUCAGCACCCACUGCAGCUGUCUGGACAAGCCAGGUGCUGCUGCUCUGUGCUGGUUCCCAGUGACCCAUUCCUCAUGGCUGCUGAUAUCCAUGCAUCCAAGAUGUGGCUUGUGGCCACGUGUCUGUGCUGCCUCCACCUUCUGUGGUUUUGGGUUGGAGGAUUACAGGUACCUGGAAUUUUUCACCAUUCCAGUCAAUGCAACAAGGCAUUUUGUCUUUGAGAAAAGAGGCAAUUAUUUCUGCUUGGGAAAGCUCCCAACUGAGCACAUCCUCUUGCCCCAAGGCCAGGAUGAUCACCACUGUGAGUGAUCCAGGGGCUCAGACACACUCCUGGUGCCAGGACUUGACCUAAACUUAAUUACAGUCAAAGAUGGAACUCCAGCAGUUGAUAAAAUAUGCUAAUCUACUAACUUCAGUUAAAAUGAGUACUGGAAAGAAGAUUUCAGACAGAAAAAAAGAGCAAAUUUCAGCUAAGAAGAAAUUUUCUAACUCUGUGGUUCAGAAACGCCUGCAUACCAGCACUUUAUUAUUGCCAGCAACACUGGAGCAGCUUAGGGGUAUUGAGCCCCUUUUUAAAAGCAUAUUCCCUUCAUAGUGAAUUCUGAAAGCCUGUCAGGAAAAUCAACCCUUUUAGCAGCAUUUACAUCUGUACUUAGCCUUCAGAGUUGCUGAAAUCUCUGUGAGACCUAAACGUAUCCUUAAAUGCUGCCCUUAGAGACAUUUUCCUGAAGAACUAAUUUUCUGAAACACGGUCUCUAAAUGCAUGGAAAACCAGCAAAGCAUCUUUGUCUUCCCAUUUUUGAACUUGAGAUCGAUUAUAAAAACACUGAUUUUUAGAAGUUCUUCCAAAGGAGCUCUUUUCUUGUCACCGUGUGUCACUCUGUUAGUCACAUUUCAAGCCAUGGAUUUGAAAACCGACCUGCAGAAGCAGCUACCUUUGUCAUAAAUUUAACUCGACAGCUUCUCUGUGGGACUUUCAAUCGGGAUUUUAAGAAAAAAAGAACACUGAAAGUGUCAGUCCAAACAUACGGGAGGCCUACACAUACUGCCUUCUACUUCAGACUCCAAAAUGAUCAGAAACAUAAAAUGCCAAGUUUUGGAGAAAAAGAACUUUUAAAAACUUGUUUCAGGGACACAGAAAGCAGUUUCUGCUGUUUGAGGGGCUGUGUGGCUCUGAGGCCUGAUGGGCGUCGCUGAGGGCUCAGCCCAGCAGGCAGAGGUGCCUCCGUGCCACUGCUCAGAAUCCCGUGUUUUCCACUUAAAUUUGGGAGUCUCGAUGGAGGACGUUAAAAAACCCCGGCAUAUUUCAGUGCUGGUUGCUGGAAGCUUGGAUCCUGAGGCGGUGGGAGCUGGUGUGGCGGGGAAGAGCCGAGCCCUCGGGCCGCUCGGAGCCGCCUCAGCCUCCAGGGCAGGAGCCCCUCCCGGAGUCCGCAUGAAAAUGGGAUCGAGGUGUGGGAGCUGCCGCCCCUGGCAGCUCUGCUCCCGGGCUGCCUCCCUGGAAACCUCAUUGCUGCGGCUGUGGGGAAUCCCAGGGUCCGGUGGGAGCCCUGGCUGCCGCUCCAAGCGCCCUGAGCCCGGCCGGCCCUGCCUCGGCGCCGCCGCCAUUGGCACAGCCCGGCCGGCUGCGGUCAAUGUGGCAGCCGCGCUGCAGAGCGGAAAUUUCCUCGUGAAGUGUGGAGAAAAAACCCGUAUAACUGAGUUUAUAGCUCGAAAAGUGGUAAAACAGCCCUUGAAGAAGUCAUUAAAUGUGAACGGACUCAAUGAUUUCUGCCUGAAUCAUCAGCAAGCUUUAAAGACACCCAACGCGUGUGUGAGGGGAAGGCAGGAGCCCCGGCCGAGGAGCGUUCCUGAAAUCCCACUUUUGUUAUUUUAUUUGUAUUUGCCACUGAAGCGUGACUGGAAAAGUGAUAAAAAUGCUUUGGAUACACACAAGGGGUGAAGGUGCAAAGGGCCAGUGACAUCCCACAGCAGCGCUCCUCAUCCACCGCCUCUGCCUUCUGCAGGAGCCGUGACUGCACCGUGACCGGUGACCUGGUGAGAGACAUCAGCCUGAAAAGUGACCUCCAACUUCAGAGUCAGGAUUGCACUGGCACAGAAUCACAGCUUGGGAUUUCAGCUUGCAGUUACACCCAAGAAUGAAGCUUUACAGUCAUGGAAAACAAGAAGGAAAAGAGCACAAGGUCAUGACUAGAAAAUGAGCACUUCUUUCUCACUAUAAGCUUGUUCACCAGCUCCUGAUUAAAGACAAUGCAAACUUCUCCAGGCUGCUCCACAAAGUAUUCUCUCUCCCUCAUCAUCUCACAUGGAUUCUGCUAUGGAGUGACAGUGUAAAUAUGGCACCUCAUUUAUAAGAGUCUCCAGUCUGUUUAUUCUUCAUCUCCUUCUCCUAGAAUUUUAAAUAAAGCCCUCACUAUAACCUCAAAACAUUUGAGAAAUGAGCAGAUACUAAAAAAUGCCAAGUCCUGAUCCAGUUAUAAUCAGUAUAAUCCCACAGAGAUAUUCCCAAAGCUUUUAUAACAAUGCCUGAGUUCAAGGUGGAAAGGCUUAAACAAAAUCCACUGUCUUCAGAUGCUAAAACCUACACUAUUUGAUAAACAGGGAUUUAGUUCCAAUUAAACAGAUGAUUAAAGAAGAAAAAGCUCAGAGAAUAAUCAGCCCUAAUUAUACUACUGCUGCUAGUGUAAUUAAUCAGUUUUGUGACCUGCAGAAUUGAGAUAAGGAGCUACAAGAUGUGGAGAUGAAAACUUGCUGUGUAGAAACCAAGGAUCAUCAUUAUCCAAACGAACACAUUAACAGUAAUUGCUCCAGGCAUGGGUUGUGUUUGGCCCCUUUCUGCUGCCUGCUCUGCUCUCCCACUCCCUGGCCCAUGGAGCUGUGGCCACUUCAAACACCUGCAGUGACCUAAAAGUACAAAGAACAUUAACCUAACACUGCCAUUCACACCCCUGUCUGUGCCUCAGAGAACUCUUAUCACAGCCUAUUGCUGUUUGUGAAGCUAUUUUUCAAGAGCUUAUAAAGUUCUCUCACUACACAUUGGUAAAGUAAACUAUAAAAAUAACUUCUCAGUGACAUGAAAGCCAUAAAUCACAAAGACAGAAAUUCAGGGAUGCACCUCUAUCUAACAUGCUGCCCUUGAACCCUCCUGUUAAUAAGCAUUUCCUAUAAGAACACAGCACACAUCCCCAAUAAUCUGUGAUUUUACAUAUUAGCUGUAAAGGGAAGGAAUAAUGGAGCAGUAAAUGCUGUUCAUCUCAAUUGGGUUUCAACAUCAGUUUUGAGUUGUCCUGGCCCCGCAGGUUUAGAAAGUACCCUUAGCACUACUUCAAAGUAGUUUUUGUGAUUUAAUUUCAUAUUUAUGCCUUUACUCAGCUGCAAGAGCUGUUUCCAAUAAAUAAAGAGAGCAGCUAUGAAUCUUCCAUCCCAGCUGUAAAUCCCUGCAGCAGAUACAUUUUUAGUGAUGCGAGGCUGGCACUCCUGGGUUCUCUCUCCAUAAAUACAUCACUGUCCGUCCCAAGCCCCUGGUGGAAAUAUGGCUUCAAUUUUUUUCUUAAAAACAUGGAUCAAUCAUUGCUGCCCUUGCCUAUUCUUUUCUGUCAAAUGCUUCAAAUGUGCUGGAGGAUCUGUAAAAAGUUUGAGAAGCACUUUGGAUACAAGCCUUACAAUCCUAUGGUGUAACAUUUACCUUGGGUGCAGCUCUUGCUGCCUUUGAGCUGCACAGGAGCUGCUCCCACUCAGAGAUCAAUGUGAGUGAUGGCAAUCCAACAAGUUCAACAGAUUUCAUGGAGCAGUGGAAGGGCCUCUCCUGCCUGAGAACACCCUGAGACCAGGAUCUAAGAGCUCCCUGUGCCUUCGGGCUCCAGGCUACAUAUUCUGUAGCCAGGGGAGAAAGCACGGAGUGUCCUACCUGUAGACACAGAGCAGAGGAGGUUUACACAUUACAUCAGCUUUCUAAUUUGGUAAAAUUUAGAAUUUUUAAUUACGUGAAUAAAUUAGAAUUAAAUAAAUUACCAAUCUACUUUAGUAAAACUUCCUGAUUUACUGCACUGGCUAAAAAUGUUUAGGCCAUUUAUUCUUUUUUUUGUUAGAUAAGUAACGCUUACAAAAACCCAAAAGCAAUUCCAGACCAAGGCGAUUACCAGAAAGCCAGUAAGAAUUAAACACUUAAUUGUUUAACACGGUAUUUGGGUCUUGCCCCCUAGCAAUGAAGGACAGCUAACAUCUCUUCUGAUGUCCAGGUCUCUCAUCAGAGCUAUAUCAGCCCUUGAAGUUGGAUUAAAACAUAACUCCUUUGAAACUCCAGAAGUUUGUGACUCACUGGAAGGAAAUUUAAAGGAUGGAUGGGUGGGAGGAGUGAGCUUCCCCUCCUGUGGAGUUUGCUACUUGAGCUUGGUUGCCAGCGCCACACUCACGUCCACCUGAAAUGUUACAGGAGGAAGUGGCUUUGAUCCUUUCUCCCUAAUGAUCUGCUCAGUCAGAACCCUGUCAUGAAAAUGUGACACUACCAUCUUGUUAAUGCUCACCCUCUGGAAGAGCUGUUCUUUGAAUGGAAGUAUCAAAGAUCCUCCUUAAUCUACUUUAUGGGAAAGUCUCUGUUUUAUGGCCACAUGCAGUAAAAAGUACCAAACCCCACAGUAUUUCAAGUUCCAGCAUUGCACAGCUGAGGCCAGCCCAGGAUAACUCCUCAGUGACUGCUUGGACAUCUUCAAAGGUGAAAAAAACUGACAAAAACAGUUUCCAAAGCAUUGUUAUCAACAGUGCCUUUUCCUCAAGAGAAAACCCAGACUGACGUUUUUAAUGGAAUUUCUCUGGACUCAUUAAAAACCAACCCCAACCCUGUGAGCAGGGACCAAGAGCCAGUGUAACAGCAGUGUGCCCAGAAAAGGCCUGUCUGCACUGCAGUGAAGCACCUUCUGAAGGGGACACCCUCCUGAGGGAAGAAGCACAUCACAGGGAGCCUGAGGGAGCCCCUGGUACGGAAGAAACAGCCUCUGGGAAGAGCCCCACGUGCCCACACAUACCAGGAUCUGGGAGAGCUGAUGGCUCCCACACUGCUGGCAGGGCUGCAGCACACUUCAGUCCAAGGGAGCAGGGCCUGGCUCCAGAAUUCAACAGCAGCCAGGAGCUUGGCUCAGCAGGAAAGCUGUUACCUGAAAAAACACCAUUUGUUCCCAAGCCACGGGCUCCAGACACGUUCAAGGAUCUCCAUGUAGCAACAGGAAAAUAACUGUGACUUCUCUUGGGCUAAUACUGCACAGCACUGCAGUCACUCACCUUCCCUGUGGGAAUGAGAGAGCCCCUUCUGUGUCCCUGCCCUGCAGCAACACGAGUGCUCCAGGCACCCUCAUCCCUCCCCCUGGCUCAGGGGUAGAUGCACUGAUGUAAAAUGUCCUCCAAUUCCAGCAGCAUUCUGCAGAAGGCAAAUACAAGCUGGAGCCUCUGAGGGUUUCCAACGUGCCAGCAGAGGUGAAGCUCUGGAAACGCAGGAUUUUGGUGCCUUGCCUGGUCUGAGGCAGCCUCCUGCAGCCCAAGCUGCCUCAGUCCCUGCUGCAGUGACACACGGCAGCAUCUCUGGCAGGUGCUCAGCAUUUCAAAUGUCAAAACAAGCCACAGUGGCUGUGCUCUUCACAUGCAGGGCAGCCAGAGCCACGCAUGGACAGCAGGGACAUUUGGCCAGGCAGGCAGAUCUCACCUUUGCACUCAGUGCUGCAGCUCGGGAUGAUGGGAUCCGUGCUGCAACAAAACCAGACCCAGAUCAGGAAGAUGAAAUUGCGACAUUUUAGUGGACUUCUACCAUAUUUCUUUUUUUACAAGGCAUCAGCUCUAAAUGUGCUAAUUCUGCACUGGUUAAGUAGAAGAACUUGAAAAAUGUAAUGGAAGCAGAGAAGUCCUCAGAAUUCCAGAUCCAGGCUGAUCUGCUUUCCUCUCUCCCCACCCCCCAACUGUCUGAUCUUAUCCAUCAUCCACAGCUGAUAGCAUGGAGGUUACAAGUCCCCAGUGCCCACACAUCCCUGUGCAGGUUCCCAGAUCAUGGACCUCACUUCAGUGUCUAGGCCAUUCACUGUUCCCAUGCCAGGAUUCAAGUCCAAAAGUUACAGAAACUGCAGAAAAACAUGCUUGUAAAGAAUGUUAUCACUUGGGAAGCAAAAACAUGGCAGGUGUGUGCCAAAGGAAAGCUGGGGAAGCAGCUCUAGGAUGUUCUGUGUCUUACAAGACACCUCAGCCCUUGAGCCUUAUUCAGCCUCUGUCCACACAAAAAAUGAUGGAGUAACUAAUGGUUUGCAACAAAAUGGCAGAGUGACCAUGGCCUGACGCAAAAUGGCAGAGUGAUGCCAAAGUCUGACACAAAAUGGCGGCAUGACCCAGGCCUGACUGCAAGUGGGGGACAGAGCCAUGGCUGCUCCAAAGCAGGGCCCGUUUCUGACAGCUGGGUCACUGCAAGGCAGGGAUUCCUGCCAGGAGCCCCUCCCAGCUGAUGGUGCCUUUGUCCCAGGAGCAGGGACAGCAAUGAGCAGUCCCAGCUCUGGCAGCCGCAGCGUUCCCCCAGCAGCAGCUGCCCUGAAGCCGGGUGGGAAUGGCACAGCCAGGGCAGCCAGGGCGCUUGGGAAAUGCAGACAGAGCUGUCUUCUCCUGUGCAAGGGGGAAAACAAACACUGACAACUCAGCUUGGAAAUCAGGUAAAUGUUCCGUUUCUCUGUACUUUGAUUCCAGCAAUACAAAAAAUGGAAGAUAACGUUCUAUUGGAGUUUGCCAAUAUUACUGACAGGACUGCCUUGGUCUGUCUGGCCUUGGCUGCUGACCAAAUAGCAGCACCCGUGGUCCUUCCUCCCCAGAGACACUGUUCAGUGCCUGUGGUCACAGCUGGGCACGUGGGGACAAGUCGGGCAUGCCCUGAACUCCAGAGCUUACAGCUGGAGCUUGCUGCUGAGGGGGGCACUCCUCAGGCCUUCCUGAGCUGGAGAAACCUUUGAGGUGAAGAAAGAACUGGGUCCUGAUGGAGAGUUCUUAAUCCAGAGUUUUUAUUUUGGUGGCACGGCCUCUGAAUCUUGCAACAACCUGCUGAACCCUCCCACCAGAACUCUCCACCAGACCCCCACCUCGUGGUCUGCUUGUCCUUUUACCUGGGGAGAGGGGCAGGGGAGGGAACACAGGGAGCACCAACCAGGCACAGGGGGAGGGGGUCUCAGGUGAGAGGGACACCUGGGUGGGCCAAUGGCCCUCCAGGGGGUGGAGAGCAUCCUUUGAACCUGCCAAUUGCUCGACAUUCUCCUUGGAAUUUCUGGGUUGAUAAGCAGUGCCCAGCAGUGGUCAAGGGUGGGGAAAAGGAGAGGUGAUUGACAGCCCACCUGGGGAAGGAAAUUUCAGGGAGAAGCCAAGGGAACUGAGGCAAGCCAUGACAUCACACUGCAGCAACAUUCUGUAUUAAUCCAUAUCCCAUGUGUUAUUUCAGACAGGUGCUUCUUCUCACACAAAGCCUCAAAUCACUCCCCAGCCCGUUUCCAAGGACUGGUGCCCAGGCUCCAGGACAGCAGGAUGACAAGACAGCCUGAGAGCCUGCUGGUUUUGGAAAUAAAGCGAAUUUGGUAUGGGGAGCUAAGGGAAGGCAGUACAUGAGCAGCUGCCUGCAGAUAUUCUCAGUGCCCAACUGCAGAAAUGCCAGUGGCACGUGACUUGUUCUAACCAACUGUCCUGGUUUAGGGCAAGUUUGGGAGAUAACCACCAAAGGGGCUUCUCUACAAAAGCAGAUUCAAUUGCUCCUCCCCCUCUAACCGGUUCAGGAGAAAAUAUCUCCUUGGAGAAAAAAGUGGAAAGAAACCUGUUUAUUAAACAAUAGAACCCAAACAAUAUUAAACAAUAAAACUUCUCACUGCUCUAAAGAAAGUAAACACACCCAAUAACAAACAGGCACCUUCCAACAAAACCUCAUUUCUCAACAGACAAAAUCUGCCUGCAUCUUAGGAGCUGUUCAGUGAUAUACACACACAGAGAAAAACUUUAAUUAAAAGAAAGAUGCUGUGAAGAAUGUAACUACUGCUUUACUAAAACUGCAAGAAAUGAAAAAAGAGAUGCCAGCUGAUGUGCUCGUUGACUUUAAAAUCUGUCCUCAGACCUGGAAGGAACACAGCUGCUGUAGGGGUGCAAUGAGGGCAGAUUUUGGAUCAUAUAAAUUUAGAUUUUUUUUCCUCUUAGCAACUUAAUGCUCAUGAAAUUAUAUAACAAAUCUGCAAACCAAUUACCAAAUGUCAGAAGGUGCCCUGGUUAAAAUACACACAUCCCCUAGAAUGUGCCAUAUUCACAAAUUAGCCAUGUGUUAUUUAUAGCUCCUCAAGGCACAGCAAUGAAGAAAGUGGUAAUGAAAUCUGAAAGCCUGAAUAUCUCCUGUAUGUCAGAAAACAAAUCCCACAAGACCCAUCUGUAGCCCAAACUGGGGGAAAGAAAAUAUCCUUUCUAAAGCAAACAAAAACCCUACAAACAACCUCCCCCACCUCUGCAGUUUUGUAUUUGUUGUUUCAUUUGUAAAAUUAAGCUGCAAAUUAAAACCCUUCCAUACUACUUCCAUUCAUUUAAUCAUAAUGAUACCUUGAAAUUCCUUAUUUUUAUUCCUCAGCACCACAGGGUGCAUCCCAAAUGCUUCAAAGAGACAGAGUCCUCUUUAUUCCCUUUGUUUCUGUCCAUGGAAGGCUGAACUCACAUGCACACCAACUCCUGCCCAGCUUGCAUGGUGAGAUGGAACUUUAACUCAAAACUCUGAUAGCUCCACAUCCAAAUCCUGCAUGUUUACACCUACCCUUGUUUAUUUCUUCACUGGUUCAGUUUUCAACAUCCACAUCCCAGUGUCUGUAGGGCCUUUGCUCGCUUGUCUCUGCCUCUCUCACUUGCCAAAAGUGACUUUCUGCUGAAUUCUUUUGUCACACAUUUUCUCUGUCCCUUAUUGAUCAGAACUGUUACUCUGCUUCCCAUGUGUGUUUUCCCUCCUUAAAAAUAAGGUAUUAAUAUUAUUUUUUCUUCUUUACUUGUGGUCAUCUAUACAUCAUAUCCUCUGCAGAAAAAACCUUUUUGAACAAAGCCGUGCUAAUUACUGCACUGAAAUACUUUAUACUCAGCCAGUUUGGUGCCGCCAAGCUGUAGCACUGUAAGACACAAAGAAUUCCUCACCUUGGAAUGUGAUUUCCAAGCAGCACAGAACAAGGAUGAAUGAAGGACACUGCCUCUUCUGUGGCACAUGGAGCAGUUAUGGGGAAUGAGUUGGGCUUGUUCACAGCAGAUGCAAACACCACAGAACUGCCCAAAACGUUUGAAGGUCCAUCAGGAUAUCUGCAUGGCUCCAAGUGCAUAUUGAUACAACAAUCACCAUCACUGCCUUUCCACCCCCAGCUCAGUAACAUCCUGGCCUUUCCACCAGAGCCUGCCUCCAUCCAUCCAUCCAUCCAUCCAUCCAUCCAUCCAUCCAUCCAUCCAUCCAUCCAUCCAUCCAUCCAUCCAUCCAUCCCAAACUAUUGGCUUUUCUCCUCCUUUUUUAAUCUGCCUCUCUGUCCCCCUGUAUUCAUUGCCUAUUUUCUCAGAUUGUUAGAAACCUUUUGGGCAGUUGACAAAUUCUUGGAGGCAUCUGAAGGGACAAAACAAUCAGAGCAGAAGAGGAGCUGCAUCUUUGUGUUACUUGUGCAACCUGACUCUCAGCCAAGGGUGAGCAGAUGGGCCUGUGCUGUCAGCACACGUUCUGAAUUUAAAGGAAAUUACACUGGCUCCUGCUGGCUGCUGCAGUAGCACAGUGACCUCUGGAGCCAUCUCUACCUCUGCCCCGUGCUCAAAGGUGAAUUCUGAUAGGGUUUCAUUUACUUGAUUUAAAACUUUGGUCUAUGUAAGAGAUAUGGAUCAUAAAAAACAAGUUUAAAAACAAAUAUAAUAAUUUUUUCCCUCAUCUUCACUAAACCUCCUUUUCUGCAAUUCUGUUUUUUAUUAUUCUGGACUUAGUGACCCACUGACCUUUGCUUUUGAAGACAAAUGUGUAGCUGUGAAUGGUAAAAACAUAAAAAGCACCCCUGCAAAAUAAAUACUUUUGUCUCAUCUGGUUUCAGCCUCAGAUACAAGCAGGAGACUUCCAUGGGAAAAGUCUCCAGAAUAUAGUUCAUAUGGAGAUGCAAGAGUUGAACACAAAACCUUUGGGGUUUGAUUUUAGAGGUCCGUGGAUAUUUCAGGCUGAAGGCAGACUUCAUCCACCACUCCAUUUUGGACUGAGUAGCUUUGGGAGGGCUUUGGGCCUGUGCCUUUGGUCCCUUAGGGAUGGGAAGUGUCACAAACCCAGCCUUGCCAGGGCCAGACUCCUAAAGGGGGAGUCUUCCCAGGAAAUCCCUUCCUGCCUUCCCACAGACAGUCCAUGUCGUGCUGGCUCCCUGUGCCACAGGCAGCCAGGCAUCCUCCAGCACUGGGAUGCUGGCAGAGACUGGAAGCCUCUCUUUUUAUGGAGGGAUCAGAGCUCAGAGAUCUUGACUUCAAGUUUCAAAUUACCAUUGUAAACCCGUACUUUCCCUGUUUUGGUCAGUGCAGUCUUCUCAGACUGAAUGGAGACACUGGGUGCUAAAGAUUGCCUUUGUUAGCAGAAGCAGACUCCAUAAGCCAUGGUGCUGUUAAUUUUUUCAGUUCUCUUGGCUUCCUUAAUAUCAUUCAGCUAUUUAUUUUCUUUAUGGGUACCUUAUUCUGCUUGAUUCUGUUUCACUUUGAACCUCCACUGAUGCUGAGGGUUUCACACACUUUUUCUCACACUGUGCAAAAUGCUGCUGGAAUCUUUGUGCAGACUCUCUGGUGACAGAAAAAGGUUAUUAUUACCACCCCCCUCCUUGUAUUGUGUCUCCAUAAAUCUGUGCACAUGCUUUGUAGCCACCCAUUUUGCACUGGAACCUGAAGAAAUAAUUUUGUUGUACUCACUAUAAGAGCACUUUCUAAAAGAGGUGUCUUUCUAAUGGUCCCUUUUUAGAGCUGGUGCAUGCAUCAUGCAGAGCUUCCAGGAGGGUUUGCAGUGAUUUGCUCCAGUUACCUGUGCCUCACCACUGGGGCUGCUGCCUGGCACAGAGGUGAAACCAUCCAGGCUGAAAGGAAAAGGCUCUGUUAGGUUGGAAUGCAGAGAGCAAAGAAUUUCAUUCACCAAGGGCAGUGAUGGAGGAGCUGCAUCCACACUCUUCCAGUCACCCAAUUACUCUGUUCCUGCCUUUCUCAAGGAUCUUAAAUCCUCCUGGAGCUUUUGUGACCCCCAUCCUCCAUCUAUAGAGGCAGAGAAGACAGAGUGAGCUUGCUUUCCUCCCUUCUGAACAGUUUCCAUACUUCCACUAAUUCCAUCUGCUUUCUCUGUGCUAUCCCACCUUCUCAACAAUCUCUGCCAAGGAUCAGCAACUGCCCAAAUUAAAUGGCCACUGACUGCUAUGACUCAGAAAUAUUUCUAUGUGAGCAGCAGGGUCACCCAGGGUACUCCAGCCAGCAGUCAUUCCUGCACACAAGGAGCAGCUGGAUAUUAAGGCAUAGCUGUGAUAUCCAUAUACUGCCCAUAUGCUCACUUUGGAGAAGCUGGGGAGACUCGUGACCUGCAAACAGGGUUAAAUGGAAAUUAUUAAAUAAACCAGAAAAAGGGGAAAAAAAGCCAUCUAUUGGCUAAUUGUGCUCCAUAGUCCUAAAAUUUCACUUGGCAUUCAGGAAGGACACAUGGGGUUUGAAUCAUUUUCUGCCUUUACACUUUCCCUGCUACCAGAGGUAACAUGGGGAUGUUCUUCAAUAAACAAAUCUGCUCUUUUCUCUCAAGGUUUGUGUACGCUCUGAGUACAUUGGUGACACCAGAUUUUUCACCAGGGAAAUGAAAAAAAAAACAACAAAACCAGCAGCCUACAUUGCUGAAAACCCAAGAAGCUAAGCUGGCCAGGUCUCUGAAAUAUGGUAUGAGUGAAAAGAUAAAGAAAAUUAAAAUUCCCAUCCAGCACAAACUGGGAAGUGAAGGAACGAGGGCUUUCCUACUGAGGCUGUCUCCAGUUACCAUUCUUCUGAGCAUGGCAUUAUCCACUCUGCACUGAGGAGGCCAAAAUAUAAAAGGUGACUGACAAACACAGGAGGCCAAAAGGAAGCAAAAGACUCACAAAGAGAACCUAUGGAAGAAGCCUUCUGUAAAGCAUGAGGGACCCCUGAGCCACAUGAGAUUAUUUUCCUCUUUUUUUCCUCCUUAAUUCUCUCACAGCAGACAGUAUUUCCCAUCCCCCCUUUCUGAAUCUCUACAACGUACAAGCUCUGUGUUUGGGUGCAGGCAGGCUGGGAAGUGCAACUGUGCAUUAGAGCUGCUGGAGCUGGGGAGGCAUUUUCAGUGAGUAAGAACCACACUUCCAUAAAUGACACACAAAAACUACAUCCCCAAUCCCACAACACGUGAAACAGAUCCCUGGAUCAGUCCCAUCACCAGCCCUGCCCAUUUCUGUGCAUGGCUGCUUGGGAUGGAGCUCUGGGAGCACAGCUGGGACACAAGGGACACUGUUCCCAUGUUCUCAGAAAGGCCCCAGGGAUGCAGGCUCAUGUGUUUGUCACAUCCUGCACCAGCCUGUGGAAAAACCUUGAUCCAUUACCUUCACUCUUCCAGAUGCUGUUAGGAAUUGGAGAAGGACAAUGCCACCUUCACCUGUAGCCUGCAGGAACAGCCAAAUCUCUUUGGGAGAACAAUCCCAUCUACACAGGCACCUCCUGCCUCUGAAUUCUGUGCAUCCUUCCUUCCAGCAGUGAAAGACCUGGAGGGACACAAACAGCAAUUACCUCUCCUGCAGGAAAAGCCCAUCCUGCCCCUCCAAACCAAACUGUCCCUUGCUCACCUAUGGUACACGCUCAUGGUUUAAGUCCUGUUACUAUUUCCAUUAAUGAUUAUCAAUAUUUCCAAUAAAGAUGGGCUGGAGACAAACCAGGAUCUAAUUAUUAAUUACAUUUUGACCUGCAUGCCCAGAUGGGUGUGAAAAAAGUUUCACUCAAGAGGAGUUUUUCCUUAACUCCAGCAGACCCUGGAUUUUUCCACUGAAUGUUUUCAUUUUCAGGUGCAAUUACCAGAAAUAACAUUAAUGGCUUUCAGUGCAGGACAAAAAUAACUAAAGGCAGAGCAACUGUCCAGCUUAGAUGCUUAUCCUAAGAAAAGACUGAGAACAAUCAUGCAAAGCUUGAUAACCUGAGGGGAGAAAAAGCAAACAAGCACAGGGGUGAAGUCUAAAUCAAAUAUGAAGCAAUCUAUAUUUUCCAUUAAAGCCAUUGUGGAACUGGGCAUUUUGCAAAGGUCUUGAUUGAAAACCAUGGCAAAGUUAAUGGGUUUGACUCAAAUGAUCCUCAGCACUUCAAUAAGGAACAAGGAGAAAGGAGGCCCACAAAAGCAGAACUUGUAAAGAAACAUUAGUGCAACCAAACAACAGAAAAGAAACAAUUUCAAUUGCUCUAGGAAGGAGUAUAAAUUGUCUUGUUCUCAAAACUAGAGGGAGAUUCAAGAGUGCAGAAUCUCAUUAGAAUUUCAGCACUGUAUUUUUGUUAUAAACAGCAUGUCAGUAAGAUUUACCAGUAUUGUCUCAAUAUACUGAAAGCUUUAUUAUUUUUUCUUUGACAAGAGGUACUUUUCUAAUUCCUUACUUUUAAUAAAAAACAAUAAAGAUGUGUACUGAAUUGAAAGCUAAUUAGCACAUUCAUAGGUGUCAAAAAUUCAAUCACUUUUGUACUAAUUUUUGGCUUCUUUUGUGGUCAGUUUAAUUAAAUUUGUUGAUAAAAUAAAGGAGGAUAUAAAAAAUUAUUAGUUUAGGCUAGGUUUUUCAAAGGCAAUUAGUAGUUAGAGCCCAUUAAUUGAGGAGAGAAUCAGACCAAUAAUUUCUAGGGCUUUUUUACUGUUACCCUUGAAUUUUUAGUAUAAUCAGCAAAGAACAAGGAGCAGUCAUGAUCCAAAAGUUUCCUGGGAUCCAGGGACAAAAAAUAUUCUUGAGGUGCUGAGAAACAGGAGUUCAGAGCUGCAGAGGCUGCUGACAGCCUCUUACAAUGGGUGCCCUGUUUUAGAAGCUGUGAUUUCAAGAGGUGGCAAAGUGGGUCAUAAAUGCUACUGAGAGCUGAAAAUUAGGAGAUGAAAACCACUUGAGAAUACUGAAGUGUGGUGGGUCUGAUUACAGCAAUCAAAAUGCUAUCCCAUUUUGCUACAGUUUAUCUUGAACAGUAAGGUUAAGGAAAAAAAAGCCAAAAAAAAAAAAAAAAAGAAAGCCACAUGAUCCUAAACUGUGUGUAUGCAUAAAUGUUACAGCCCUGACAGGGGCUGCACAGGCAGCUGACCCCAAAGGUAACGUGGUGUUGAUCUGGUUUUGUGCUGGCAGCCAAAACCCCUCCUGCUGCUUCGCCAGGCCUUUCACUCCUGCCCACAGUCUGAAUCCUCCUGGAUUUGGCACUGAGGACUGACUGCUUCCCACCAAAUACCUGCAAAACCAGUUCCAUCCUUCCAUCCUGAGGUGCCUGUGUGUGUGCCCUGGUGCAUGGCCAGUGCAACAGCUGAGUGACAUUUGUCCCUCACGACCAUGGGCAAGAGUGUGUGCUCAGAGCACCUGGGCACGGCCUCCUGUGGGAAAACUUCUCCUGGCUGAGGACACCACAUCUCCAAGGAUCACUGCAUGAACCUCUGCACCUGCCCCACAAAGUGCAGAACAACCCACAAACACACAGUGACACCGCCAAGAACAGCUCCCAUCCAACCAGCCCCCGCGGGGCUCCCGGAGCAGCAGAGGACAGGAGAACAAACAGCAGGUGACAAAUGUUGGGUCAUGCCCACCUUAGGCCAAAGUGACUCCGUGCUCUGCCAGCUGGCUCAGCAAGCUCAUCCCAAUUCAUCUGGGAGCUGUGCUGUGCACAUGAACUGUGGAGGACUUCAACAAUGCAUCAGGUGGGAGAUAUUAAAGGCACUGGAAAACAAACAAACACACAAAGAAAAGAAACAAACCUGAGUACCAACAGCAGUACCCAGUGCAGAUUAAAAAUGCAAAUAAACAAAAUAACUUCAUGAGUCAUUUUAUGUUAAAUCCCAGUCCUCAGGGAUGAGUUGAGCACCAAUGUGUACAUGCCUUGUUUAUUAUCCUGUGAGCUAAGAAUUGAAAUAAAGUCUCAGAGUAAAUAAUUGAGACAAGAUUCAGUGAUAUGGAGCGUUCACUGCCAGCCUUUUAAAAACGGAUCUACCUGCCCCUCUUGCUGAGGAGGUUUGUGCAAUACCCAGGUUCCACAGUUCCUUCUUCAGCAGAGGAAGCCACUGCUGUUCCACCCCAGCUUUUUGUUACACUCUUCAAUUUCUUUAAGCAGUAUCAUAUAAAGCCUGUUUUCAAGAGUGAAAUAAAUAACUGGAUGGAGAUGAACUCUGUGCAAGGGGAGGUACAGGGCAGUGCUUCUGAGUGCCACAGUCUGGGAGAAUCCAUGGGAGACAUUUCCAUCCACGCUCCCAGAAAGCACAGAGUGCAUCAGCAGUUGCUGUAAUCACCUCUCCCACAAUAACCAUCACUGCUGUCCUCUGUGCUCUCCCCUGCUCACGCUGCCUCCCUUCCCUUCCUGGCUGGGAUGUUCCAUCACACACCUCCCUCAGGUGCACACCAAGCAGUGAUGUUUGCCAUUUUGUACUUUAGGAAUUUCUGCAGGUUUAACAGUUUUAAAACAGACAUUAAGCUGCUCUUUCUUGUGUUUUUU